GCUUAUUGUGACAUUUCCAAAAAUGUUCUCACUAAGGAGAAUCCCAAAAUGAAGAUCAGUAAAGAAGUUCUAGUAGUUUUCUGAUACACAGCUCUUACAAGAGAGAAAAACGGGAGGCAUCUGCAGAAACUAGAGUGGUAUGGAAAAGUUAUAUAUUGUUUCAUACAUGAAUGGUGGCUGAUAAGAUUACUCUUGCCCUGCUAAAUUAACCAUACAGUGGUAGCAUUGGUUGUGCAACCUCGUGCAAGUAAGAACAACCUUGAAAGCAUCCGCUUUAGCUUCACUGACAUCCUGAGGAACUGUUAUGUUUCCCUGGUUCUCCAGGUGGGAAGACAAACAUCAGGACAAGCAUUUCUGGAAGAGGAGAAAACUGCUUCUUUAGAAAUGGCUUUAAAACUGGACCGCCAGCUCCACCCAUUCACAUCAGAGAGCAGGAUUCAUGAGCUCAGCAUGAAAGCAAUGAUUUGUUUCUUGUGCUUCCUUGCUUCCCAGCCCUUGCCUGCCCUGCUUCUGUGACAUCACAAAGACCUGCCUUUGUGACAUCACAGUGCUCUGUCUUCUUGACUUCAGCUUUUGAAACUGAAAUUUCAAAGAAUGGAUGCUGUUGCCUGACAACCCAAACAGUAUUCAUGCAAACAGUACAAUGGGAGCACCCUGAGUAUUGUAGAACAUUGUAAUGAAGCCCCAAAAGGUUCCAUUGUGCAUAGCUGCCCCACACAGAAAAAUAAGUGGCACCACCUCCUUUACCAUGUUGAAGCACUCAUAGAGGUGUGGGUGGUGGUGUCAGUGGCAUUUCCUUGUGUAUCAUAUCUGAUGUUGAUGGUUCUCGGAGCCAGGUAUUAUUCAUACGGCUGCAUUAUGGAGGCAUGUAGAUAUGGCUAAGAGAAAAAGUCCACUAGCAGAAGCUCAGAAGCAGCCAUGGUUGGCUCAGGGGGUGCUGAGUGUGUGGUAGUAGUAGCCCCUCAUCCUGGCUAAUGGCUGGUUCAGACCCAUUCACCAAGAGGACCAGAAAAGAGAGACAUGAGAUAUAGGCCCUGGCAAGAUGCUGCAGGCGAGGUGACAUAACACACUGCAAUGUCACAACAUUAGAUCUAGAGCUACUUCUGCAUUAGCUGAUUGUGCAGAUGAGCACAAGAGAAUUGGGGUAAGCGCUCCCAUAAUCCAGAUGAAGCCUGAUUCACCAGGCAGUAUGAAAACUGAAAGCUGGAGAGGGGACACAUUAUA
rnacentral:lncRNA from 1 species